rnacentral:rRNA from 1 species
UGGCAAGCGUUAUCCGGAAUUAUUGGGCGUAAAGCGCGCGUAGGCGGUUCUUUAAGUCUGAUGUGAAAGCCCACGGCUCAACCGUGGAGGGUCAUUGGAAACUGGAAAACUUGAGUGCAGAAGAGGAAAGUGGAAUUCCAUGUGUAGCGGUGAAAUGCGCAGAGAUAUGGAGGAACACCAGUGGCGAAGGCGACUUUCUGGUCUGUAACUGACGCUGAUGUGCGAAAGCGUGGGGAUCAAACAGGAUUAGAUACCCUGGUAGUCAAGGGCG